rnacentral:rRNA from 1 species
CAGUCGCCACGGGAAUACGAAGGGUGCAAGCGUUAAUCGGAAUUACUGGGCGUAAAGCGCGCGUAGGUGGUUCAUUAAGUUGGAUGUGAAAGCCCUGGGCUCAACCUGGGAACUGCAUCCAAAACUGGCAAACUCGAGAAUGGUAGAGGUAACUGGAAUUUCUGAAGUAGGGGUAAUAUCCGUAGAUAUCAGAAGGAACACCAAUGGCGUAGGCAGGUUACUGGACCAUUUCUGACACUGAGGCACGAAAGCGUGGGGAGCGAACCGGAUUAGAUACCCCGGUAGUCCCUGUCUCUUAUAC